rnacentral:tRNA from 1 species
AUAGUAUUUUUUAACUUUUAUUAAAAUUAAUAAAUUA